rnacentral:rRNA from 1 species
UGGGGAAUAUUGCACAAUGGGCGCAAGCCUGAUGCAGCCAUGCCGCGUGUAUGAAGAAGGCCUUCGGGUUGUAAAGUACUUUCAGCGAGGAGGAAGGCGUUGUGGUUAAUAACCGCAACGAUUGACGUUACUCGCAGAAGAAGCACCGGCUAACUCCGUGCCAGCAGCCGCGGUAAUACGGAGGGUGCAAGCGUUAAUCGGAAUUACUGGGCGUAAAGCGCACGCAGGCGGUCUGUCAAGUCGGAUGUGAAAUCCCCGGGCUCAACCUGGGAACUGCAUCCGAAACUGGCAGGCUAGAGUCUUGUAGAGGGGGGUAGAAUUCCAGGUGUAGCGGUGAAAUGCGUAGAGAUCUGGAGGAAUACCGGUGGCGAAUGCGG